UCUUCUUGCUUUAUUUAUUUAUUCCAGAAUGACUUCUGCUCAGAAGGCUCUUCCUGUUGCCUUCUCGACUUGCACGCUCUGAUGAAACAAGCUGCAGUGCCGGCGAGGCCCGUGUGACAAGGCAUGCACAGUGGCCUCCGGCCAACAGUCAGCUCGGAAGUGAGGCCCGCAGUCCGGCUUCCCUCAAGGAACUACGCUGUCAGCAAUGUCUUUAGCAAAAGCCCGGAGCAGAUACAGCCCCUGUUGAGCUCCCAGCCCUGGCUGACACAUUGACUCAGCCUUGGGAGAGACCCUGAGCAGAGGACUCAACCAAACCAUGCCCAUAAUUCUGACCCAGAAUAACUGAGGCAGUAAUAAACAUGUGUUGUUUUAA